AUUGAACGCUGGCGGCAUGCCUUACACAUGCAAGUCGAACGGCAGCACGAGAGCAAUCCUGGUGGCGAGUGGCGAACGGGUGAGUAAUAUAUCGGAACGUGCCCAGUCGUGGGGGAUAACGCAGCGAAAGCUGUGCUAAUACCGCAUACGAUCUAUGGAUGAAAGCGGGGGAUCGCAAGACCUCGCGCGAUUGGAGCGGCCGAUAUCAGAUUAGGUAGUUGGUGGGGUAAAAGCCCACCAAGCCGACGAUCUGUAGCUGGUCUGAGAGGACGACCAGCCACACUGGAACUGAGACACGGUCCAGACUCCUACGGGAGGCAGCAGUGGGGAAUUUUGGACAAUGGGCGCAAGCCUGAUCCAGCAAUGCCGCGUGCAGGAUGAAGGCCUUCGGGUUGUAAACUGCUUUUGUACGGAACGAAACGGUCCUUUUUAAUACAAGGGGCUAAUGACGGU
rnacentral:rRNA from 1 species